rnacentral:rRNA from 1 species
UACGUAGGCAGCAAGCGUUGUUCGGAAUUACUGGGCGUAAAGAGUGUGUAGGCGGUGCUCUAAGUUCGGUGUGAAAUCUCCCGGCUCAACUGGGAGGGUGCGCCGGAAACUGGAAUGCUUGAGCGUGGGAGAGGAAAGCGGAAUUCCCAGUGUAGCGGUGAAAUGCGCAGAUAUCAGGAGGAACACCGGUGGCGAAGGCGGGUCUCUGGGCCGAUACUGACGCUGGAGGAGCGAAAGCGUGGGGAGCGAACAGG